CAGCAGCCACGGUAACACAGAGGGUGCGAGCGUUAAUCGGAUUUACUGGGCGUAAAGCGUGCGUAGGCGGCUAAUUGAGUCGGAUGUGAAAUCCCCGAGCUUAACUUGGGAAUUGCAUUCGAUACUGGUUAGCUAGAGUGUGGGAGAGGAUGGUAGAAUUCCAGGUGUAGCGGUGAAAUGCGUAGAGAUCUGGAGGAAUACCGAUGGCGAAGGCAGCCAUCUGGCCUAACACUGACGCUGAGGUACGAAAGCAUGGGGAGCAAACAGGAUUAGAUACCCCGGUAGUCCCUGUCUCUUAUAC
rnacentral:rRNA from 1 species